GAUGAACGCUGGCGGCGUGCCUAAUACAUGCAAGUCGAGCGAACAGAUGAGGAGCUUGUUCCUCUGACGUUAGCGGCGGACGGGUGAGUAACACGUGGAUAACCUACCUAUAAGACUGGGAUAACUUCGGGAAACCGGAGCUAAUACCGGAUAAUAUAUUGAACCGCAUGGUUCAAUAGUGAAAGACGGUUUUGCUGUCACUUAUAGAUGGGUCCGCGCCGCAUUAGCUAGUUGGUAAGGUAACGGCUUACCAAGGCGACGAUGCGUAGCCGACCUGAGAGGGUGAUCGGCCACACUGGAACUGAGACACGGUCCAGACUCCUACGGGAGGCAGCAGUAGGGAAUCUUCCGCAAUGGGCGAAAGCUUGACGGAGCAACGCCGCGUGAGUGAUGAAGGUCUUCGGAUCGUAAAACUCUGUUAUUAGGGAAGAACAAAUGUGUAAGUAACUAUGCACGUCUUGACGGUACCUAAUCAGAAAGCCACGGCUAACUACGUG
rnacentral:rRNA from 1 species